rnacentral:rRNA from 1 species
AUUGAACGCUGGCGGCAGGCCUAACACAUGCAAGUCGAACGAGUGGCGGACGGGUGAGUAAUGUUUGGGAAUCUACCUUAUGGAGGGGGAUAACUACGGGAAACUGUAGCUAAUACCGCAUACCAUAGGAUGAGCCCAAAUGGGAUUAGGUAGUUGGUGGGGUAAAGGCUCACCAAGGCGACGAUCCCUAGCUGGUCUGAGAGGAUGACCAGCCACACUGGGACUGAGACACGGCCCAGACUCCUACGGGAGGAAGCAGUGGGGAAUAUUGCGCAAUGGGGGCAAGCCUGACGCAGCCAUGCCGCGUGUAUGAAGAAGGCCUUCGGGUUGUAAAGUACUUUCGGUAGCGAGGCGUUACCUACAGAAGAAGCACCGGCUAACUCCGUGCCAGCAGCCGCGGUAAUUC